UUAAGUGAAUAAGGGCGCACGGAGGAUGCCUUGGCACUAGGAGUCGAAGAAGGACGCGACAAACGGCGAAACGCCUCGGGGAGCUGUAAGUGAGCAUUGAUCCGGGGGUAUCCGAAUGGGGAAACCCGCUAGUGGUUAUACGCUAGCACCAUAUGGUGAAUACAUAGCCAUAUAGGAGACAGACCCAGGGAACUGAAACAUCUAAGUACCUGGAGGAAAAGAAAGAAAAAUCGAUUCCCGUAGUAGCGGCGAGCGAAGUGGGAAGAGCCCAAACCGGAUUUAUCCGGGGUUGUAGGACCUUCAUAAUUGACAAAUCAUGAUAGCCGAAUGGUCUGGGAAGGCCAACCGUAGGGGGUGAGAGUCCCGUAGGUGAAAUUGUGAGAUGCAUGGAAGGAAUCCUGAGUACGGCGGGACACGUGGAAUCCCGUCGGAAUCAACGAGGACCAUCUCGUAAGGCUAAAUACUACCUAGUGACCGAUAGUGAACCAGUACCGUGAGGGAAAGGUGAAAAGAACCCCGGAAGGGGAGUGAAAGAGAACCUGAAACCGUGUGCCUACAAAUAGUCAGAGCCCGUUAAUGGGUGAUGGCGUGCCUUUUGUAGAAUGAACCGGCGAGUUACGAUAUCGUGCGAGGUUAAGCAGAAGAUGCGGAGCCGUAGCGAAAGCGAGUCUGAAUAGGGCGAAGAGUACGAUGUUGUAGACCCGAAACCGUGUGAGCUAGCCAUGAGCAGGCUGAAGGUCAGGUAACACUGACUGGAGGGCCGAACCAGGGCACGUUGAAAAGUGCUUGGAUGACUUGUGGCUAGGGGUGAAAUUCCAAUCGAACACGGAUAUAGCUGGUUCUCUCCGAAAUAGCUUUAGGGCUAGCCUCGAUGUUAAGUCUACUGGAGGUAGAGCACUGAAUGGGUGAUGGCCCCACCUCGGGGUACUGAUCUCAAUCAAACUCCGAAUGCCAGAUAGAUAUAAUCGGGAGUCAGACUGUGGGUGAUAAGGUCCAUGGUCAAAAGGGAAAGAGCCCAGACCGCCAGCUAAGGCCCCCAAGUGUCCGUUAAGUGGAAAAGGAUGUGGAGAUGUACAGACAACUAGGAGGUUGGCUUAGAAGCAGCCAUCCUUUAAAGAGUGCGUAAUAGCUCACUAGUCGAGUGACUCUGCGCCGAAAAUGUACCGGGGCUAAACGGACCGCCGAAGCUGCGGAUUGACUUUAGAGUCAGUGGUAGGAGAGCGUUCUAACAGCGGUGAAGCAGUACCGGAAGGAGCUGUGGAGCGGUUAGAAGUGAGAAUGCCGGUGUGAGUAGCGAAAGAUAGGUGAGAAUCCUAUCCAUCGAAAGCCUAAGGUUUCCAGGGGAAGGCUCGUCCGCCCUGGGUAAGUCGGGACCUAAGGUGAGGCCGAAAGGCGUAGCCGAUGGACAACAGGUUGAUAUUCCUGUACCACUUAUUAAACUGAUGGAGUGACGGAGAAGGCUAAGUUGAGCGUGUGAUUGGAUUCACGUGUAAGCAGUGAGGUGGUCAUGUAGGCAAAUCCGCAUGGCAUAACAUUGAGCUGUGAUGCCGAAGCCGAAUGGCGAAGUCAACUGACGUCACGCUUCCAAGAAAAGCUUCUAGGGUUAAUUUAAUAAGUGCCCGUACCGAUAACCGACACAGGUAGGCGAGGAGAGAAUCCUAAGAUGAGCGAGAGAACUCUUGUUAAGGAACUCGGCAAAAUGACCCCGUAACUUCGGGAGAAGGGGUGCUUGUGAAAGCAAGCCGCAGUGAAUAGGCCCAGGCGACUGUUUAUCAAAAACACAGGUCUCUGCUAAACCGCAAGGUGAUGUAUAGGGGCUGACGCCUGCCCGGUGCUGGAAGGUUAAGAGGAGAGGUUAGCGCAAGCGAAGCUUUGAAUUGAAGCCCCAGUAAACGGCGGCCGUAACUAUAACGGUCCUAAGGUAGCGAAAUUCCUUGUCGGGUAAGUUC
rnacentral:rRNA from 1 species